rnacentral:rRNA from 1 species
GGAGUUAGCCGGUGCUUCUUCUGUGAGUGAUGUCCUUCCUGCCGGUUAUUGACCCGCAGGCCUUCUUCCUCACUGAAAGUGCUUUACAACCCGAAGGCCUUCUUCACACACGCGGCAUGGCUGGAUCAGGGUUGCCCCCAUUGUCCAAUAUUCCCCACUGCUGCCUCCCGUAGGAGUCUGGGCCGUGUCUCAGUCCCAGUGUGGCUGAUCAUCCUCUCAGACCAGCUACGGAUCGUCGCCUUGGUGAGCCGUUACCUCACCAACCAGCUAAUCCGACAUAGGCUCAUCCGAUAGCGCGAGGCCCGAAGGUCCCCCGCUUUCCCCCGUAGGGCGUAUGCGGUAUUAGCCUGGGUUUCCCCAGGUUAUCCCCCACUACCGGGCAGAUUCCUAUGCAUUACUCACCCGUCCGCCGCUCGCCACCAGGGAGCAAGCUCCCCGUGCUGCCGCUCGACUUGCAUGUGUUAGGCCUGCCGCCAGCGUUCAAUCUGAGCAGANACAACUACUGA